rnacentral:rRNA from 1 species
GACGAACGCUGGCGGCGUGCUUAACACAUGCAAGUCGAACGAAGAGCGAUGGAAGCUUGCUUCUAUCAAUCUUAGUGGCGAACGGGUGAGUCACGCGUAAUCAACCUGCCCUUCAGAGGGGGACAACAGUUGGAAACGACUGCUCAUACCGCAUACGAUCUAAUCUCGGCAUCGAGGAUAGAUGAAAGGUGGCCUCUACAUGUAAGCCAUCACUGAAGGAGGGGAUUGCGUCUGAUUAGCUCGGUGGCGGGGUAACGGCGCACCAAGGCGAGGAUCAGUAGCCGGUCUGAGAGGAUGAACGGCCACAUUGGGACUGAGACACGGCCCAGACUCCUACGGGAAGCAGCAGUGGGGAAUCUUCCGCAAUGGACGAAAGUCUGACGGAGCAACGCCGCGUGAGCGAUGACGGCCUUCGGGUUGUAAAGCUCUGUUAAUCGGGACGAAAGGGCUUCUUGCGAAUAGUGAGAAGGAUUGACGGUACCGGAAUAGAAAGCCACGGCUAACUACGUG